GAGCGUCCUGAGCUCGUUCUUGAAGCCCGUGGAAGAGGUGCAGAUUUGGGUGCCGAUUCUUGCCGACCGCUCGAUUGGCCUCCAUCUUCUGUUACUAUCCCUCUUACAAGCCAGUGCCCCGUCUCUUCACUGCCGGCAUUGCUCAUUUCUACGAGGGUUACUAUGCUAGCAAAGGAAUCAAUAUCGUGAAGGGUACUGUGGCUAGUGGUUUUGAUGCUGAUGCCAAUGGAGAUGUUAGUGUGGUGAAGCUGAAGGAUGGAAGAGUACUCGAUGCCAACAUCGUCAUCGUUGGAGUCGGUGGCAGGCCGCCGACAGGCCUCUUCAAAGGCCAAGUUGAAGAGGAGAAGGGUGGACUCAAGACUGACACAUUUUUCGAAACAAGCGUCGCUAGUGUAUAUGCCAUCGGUGAUGUGGCGACUUUCCCCAUGAAGCUGUACAAUGAGCCGAGGAGAGUGGAGCACGUCGACCAUGCUCGGAAAUCAGCAGAGCAGGCAGUAAAGGU